UGCCAUUAGCCUGCUUAUUGAAGGCACCCAUAAUAAUUAUUCUAGGCACAAUAAGAGUAAGAUAAACAAAGUACCAAUAAGAACUCUUGGGCACGUGGCUCUAUGCUCUGCCCACACCUCUCAUAAACAGCAAGUUUAUAAGACAGACACCCAGGUGAUUGCUUUUCCGGCCACUGCCCGUCAGCCAGUGUCAGGCCUAGUGUAUUCAGCCACUCUCAGUUACAGCCUGCAACCGUGGUGGUCACAAGCCCUUCCUUUUUCUGUCUCAUGGUAGCUACAAAUGAGGGGAAGGCGGAAGACCAUAGGACUGAAUGCACCUUGGAGUAUAACUAGGAAAUGGCCCUGCCAGGACAAGCGAUAAUUCAACUUACUCCACCUCCGCCAGAUGGCUCUCCCAAUGAUGGACAUGUUGGAAAGCACAAUCAGGAAGUUUCUGAAGAGCUUAGACCAAUGCUGCUGAAUAAGUCCUUUUACCAUGUGUAUAUGAAGGUGCAGCUAGAUUUUUUCUUUGUGCCUCUUUAGCUUUUCUCCUGAUUAUCACAACAAUACACGCUCAUUGUAGAACCUUUUGCACUUGCAGCAAACUGAAUGGGAACAGAGAGAAAUGGGCUCUUACGCUUCCUGGAGAACAGCACGGUUAGCAUUAGCCUUUUCUUCCUGGCAUUUUUCUGAGUAUGUGUCGGUACUCUGUAAUUUGCAUCUUGCCUUCUUUCGUCCACCAUUUGGUAAGUGCCCUCCCUCCAACAUCGUAACACAUGGGUACAGAGGCAGACCCCAAUUUGCCAAGUGGUUCAUUUCCCACCUGUUACUUAUCUGCGUUGUUUCCAGGUUGUUUGCUUUGCUAUUAGAAAUUCCCUGCUGUGGUGAAGAGCGCUGUCGUUCUCAAGUGUGACCUGAUGCGACUGUGAGGACUGAAGGCCCCCGCCCCACAACCCAGUGUGCAUCCGUACCUGUGGCCUUCGGCUCACCCGGGGUCUCAGCUUUGGCGAAGGUGCUCACGAUCUUGAUGUCGGGGAAGAGGGUCACCCCUCUGGCACUUUCAAACUGGGCGGCGGGUCUCCAGAGGCGGUCCGUGCCACGGAGGCUGAUCUGGGGCUCGAUGGCCUGCAGCACCAUCACAUAGGCAUCCACGUCGGGGACGCUGAUGCACACAUCUUCUCCAAAGCACCUGGGAAAACAGCCGCAGUCACGGCACUGACGAGCGAGUGAUAAAACCAUCCAUUGCGCGGCUGUGGACAAGGAUCCACACAGCCAUCUCUCGUUCUCAACAGGGUAUCCUGACUGCCUCAGAGUCUCUGACAGUGUCAACAGACAUUCAGAUUUAAAGCCACAUUAAAGUCAAAGCCAAUAGCAAUCUAGGGGCUUAGGAAGAUCAGCUUCUGGGAGAAAUGGGAAUCUUCGAUACCAGCAACAAGUAACUGUUAAACCUUUAAUUAUCCUUUAACAAAGUAAUCAGUGGCAACAUGAAUUAGAUAGCAACUGCUUCAGAUGUGCAUUAGGAUUUGGUAAGCAAAUUGCUGUCUAACUGGUUGAGUAGCGGCACCUUGCUGAGACCCCGGGGCUAAACUCUCCUGCGCUUUUGUGUGUUUUCUCUCUCUGAGGCCAUCUCACAGUGUCCCUGUUGCAGCUGUAUGGCUGGGUGCUGCUGACCACAUUCCUUUCUCCUGAUGCACGGCCACAGAAAUAUCCAGAAGGCAGAAUGGUGUGACAACACAAGCAAGGCCUGGGAAGUUAGAUAAGGGUCCAUGGCCUGGCUCUGCCACCACUGGGCUGGGUGACUGUGGGCAACGUACGACUCCUGUGAACCUCAGUUUCUCCAUCUAUACAAUGGUGAUGACAAUAAUUAAUUACCUUUUAGUAGGAAGGAUUCAAGGUGAUGAUGUACAGAGGCUGACCCCAGAACCUGCAUCGUGGAGCUCAUGCAUCAUGUUGGCGGAUCCAACACCCUUAUCACACUCUAUCACUAGAACUCUGUCACUCAUCUAGGCCAAAGACAGAGGCUAUAAUGGUGGCCCAGAUGGUUGCUCUGAGAACACUGAGUUGACUCCAGCUGUGGCGGCCAUCAGCUUGUAUCUCUUGGGAAAGUUCCUGAGAGAAGUGCAGUCUGGGUGGACAUCAUGCUGAGCCACAUCUUCUUUGGGGUGAGCCAGAUAUGGGAGUGGUGGUUGUCUCCUGCUCCCGACUUUGGCCUUUUCUGCACCAACCCCGGAAGGUACCCUGUCCCUCGUCAGUUUAUGGAAACCUGGUCCCAGAGGUAGAGACUAGCCAGCCUAUUCCCUCUACUUGACUGCAGCUGACCUGGAGGUGCUUGCUCCCUGGUGCAGGCCUCCAAGGGUGGCCCUUAGUGUGAAGGUGGAUGCACCUUCUCUGUCACUACAACUAUUCAAUCUAAUUGCUGCCUAAUCUAAUGGCACCUAUCCCAGGGCCCAGUAAUGUGGCAGUCAGCAGCCUCAUUCUUCCCUGCCUUGUUCCUGUCCUUCUGGGUUCUUCUCCUGGCUCCAGGGGCUGGGUGACUCCACUUUCACCUCUCAGGAGUUUUUCUGGGGGUCCCCCCUUUGCUGCCCUCCCAGGCAGUUGCUGUGGCUGAGAAAUGACUUGACAGGCCAAGAAGGGAGGUAUCCACAGAUUUCACUAAUAAACGGUCGCAUCUCCUUAAUUGAACUCUGAUUCCCUGGGGACAAGAACCACACCCUCUUUUCAGACUCAUGGUACUUAGGAGAUCCCUACAAAGCUGGGUGAUUUGAAGCUAAUUUAAUAAACAUUUGUUAAGUACCUGUGUACCCACCAGCUACGGUAACCUGAGAUCAGACCACUUAAAGCCAAGCUUUCUGAGAAUUUACAGAAAGCAGUACUACAUCAGAUUCUGAAUUAAAUGGAGAAUGCUGGAUUGGUGUUGACAAAGCAAUAGAACAUUUUCUUUAAGAACAACAAGGGGAGAACACUGAUUCACUGGGGCACCCUCACAGGGACAGCAGAGAAAUUGAGAAUCAGCUGAAGAAAGGUCAAUUCUGUUUUGCCAGGGAGCAUGCCCCAUCCCUGCCGCCUCAGCUGGGCCCCUAGUUGACCAGCACCUGUCUACUCACUGGACUUUGGAAGAGACUCUCAGGCGCCGCACACCUGCCGUCGGGAACUGCCUGGAGUUGAUGUAGGAGACCUUCUGGAGGGCAUGAUUGAUGUUCCCAAUAUCAUCACCUUCCAUCACCAGGACGGACUGCGAGGGGUUGAAGUGGUACUAGAGGAGGAAAGGGGCAUCAUGGGGGAGAAUGAUCAGCGACGGAGCCCUCCACCUCCAUGGACAGGCCACGAAGGCCUGGUGUCUCCAGAGCAUCUGCAAGGGCAGCAGCCAUGAGCACAGAUGACUGUUUUAACCCCUCAAACAAUUCCUGCUCCGCCCCGCCCCCCUGGCGGGGCUUCCGGGCCUCCCCUUUAAGACCUUUAGGGGUUAUAAACUCCAAAGCCAUAGCAUAAGAUUCUGGAUCCCCAUCACAGGUCUCUUGUGAUCUAGCCCUUGUAGGGUGGCCCAUGCUCUGUGCUGCUGUGGGGUCCUGACCACCCUUUCAGCCCUUAGACAGCCUGCCCCCUCAGCUGAGUGCCUGGAAACUUGGGGUUUUGCUCCUUUCACUGGUCUUGUCUUUGGCCUUGAACUCCUCCUCAGUUCACCCUGUGCUCCCCUUCCUGAUUCAUGGCCAUCUUCUUAGCUUCUGACCUUAAAGCUCAUUUUUUAGUUAA